UGCGCGCGGCCUGUGGCUGGACGAGGUUCACGUGGGUUUACCUGGAGGCGUUGCUGCGCGCGGCCUGUGGCUGGACGAGGUUCACGUGGGUUUUGCUGUGAAGAGACCAAGCACUACAGAUUGAAGCUGGGUGCCUGAUGGACACCUGCUCGUGUGCUUCUCUGUAAGUAUUUGCAUUGUCGCAGCUGCAAGCACCCAUUUCGCUGAGAAUCACUGUUGCCUCCAUGGGGUCCUGUCCUAUGGACGACCCCUGUCUAGUUGGGAACUUGGUGCCAGGAGCUCAACUUGCUCCAAUGCUUCCCAUCCUACUAAGUUCUACGCUGACUACAGUGGUAGGUAACGUCUGUUUUCCUGCAGUGCUUAAAUAUUGUUUCUACCUCCACCUUCGGCAGCUAUGUGGCAGACAUUUAAUCAUUGUUAGGCA
rnacentral:lncRNA from 1 species